CCUACGGGUGGCAGCAGUGAGGAAUAUUGGUCCAUGGGCGCGAGCCUGAACCAGCCAAGUAGCGUGAAGGAUGACUGCCCUACGGGUUGUAAACUUCUUUUAUAAAGGAAUAAAGUGAGGCACGUGUGCCUUUUUGUAUGUACUUUAUGACUAAGGAUCGGCUAACUCCGUGCCAGCCGCCGCGGUAAUACGGAGGAUCCGAGCGUUAUCCGGAUUUAUUUGGUUUAAAGGAAGCGUAGAUGGGUUGUUAAGUCAGUUGUGAAAGUUUGCGGCUCAACGGUACAAUUGCAAUUGAUACGGGCAGUCUUGAGUACAGUUGAGGUAGGCGGAAUUCGUGGUGUAGCGGUGAAAUGCUUAGAUAUCACGAAGAACUCCGAUUGCGAAGGCAGCUUACUAAACUGCCACUGACAUUGAUGCUCGAAAGUGUGGGUAUCAAACAGGAGUAGAUACCCUAGUAGUC
rnacentral:rRNA from 1 species